CAGCACCUCAAGUGGUCAGGAUGAUUAUUGGGCCUAAAGCAUCCGUAGCCGGCGCUGUAAGUUUUCGGUUAAAUCUGUACGCUCAACGUACAGGCUGCCGGGAAUACUGCAGCGCUAGGGAGUGGGAGAGGUAGACGGUACUCGGUAGGAAGGGGUAAAAUCCUUUGAUCUAUUGAUGACCACCUGUGGCGAAGGCGGUCUACCUGAACACGUCCGACGGUGAGGGAUGAAAGCUGGGGGAGCAAACCGGAUUAGAUACCCGAGUAGUCC
rnacentral:rRNA from 1 species